AUUGAACGCUGGCGGCAGGCUUAACACAUGCAAGUCGAGCGGGGUGAUGGUGCUUGCACUAUCACUUAGCGGCGGACGGGUGAGUAAUGCUUAGGAAUCUGCCUAUUAGUGGGGGACAACAUCUCGAAAGGGAUGCUAAUACCGCAUACGUCCUACGGGAGAAAGCAGGGGAUCACUUGUGACCUUGCGCUAAUAGAUGAGCCUAAGUCGGAUUAGCUAGUUGGUGGGGUAAAGGCCUACCAAGGUGACGAUCUGUAGCGGGUCUGAGAGGAUGAUCCGCCACACUGGGACUGAGACACGGCCCAGACUCCUACGGGAGGCAGCAGUGGGGGAUAUUGGACAAUGGGGGGAACCCUGAUCCAGCCAUGCCGCGUGUGUGAAGAAGGCCUUAUGGUCGUAAGGCACUUUAAGCGAGGAGGAGGCUCUUUUGGUUAAUACCCAAGAUGAGUGGACGUUACUCGCAGAAUAAGCACCGGCUAACUCUGUGCCAGCAGCCGCGGUAA
rnacentral:rRNA from 1 species